UACGGAGGGUGCAAACGUUGCUCGGAAUUAUUGGGCGUAAAGCGCACGUAGGCGGCAUUGCAAGUCGGAUGUGAAAUCUUAUGGCUUAACCAUAGAAGUGCAUCCGAAACUGCAGUGCUUGAGUACUUAAGAGGAUCGCGGAAUUCCCGGUGUAGAGGUGAAAUUCGUAGAUAUCGGGAGGAACACCAGUGGCGAAGGCGGCGAUCUGGGAAGAUACUGACGCUGAGGUGCGAAAGCGUGGGGAGCAAACAGG
rnacentral:rRNA from 1 species